CAGACUCAUUAUUCCCAUUGUAAGUUACUUCAUCUUCUCCUCUUCUCAUCAUCCAUAGCCACACCCGCUACAUUCGAUUCCUCCGAAAUUGUUCGUGAGUGAUUCUAUUGUUCUUGCGUCUCCUCUACCGUCGUUCGCGACGCUGCAAGAUUCUUGGGUCUCUCCCACCGUUAGCGCCCAGGUUGUUCCUCUCUAUGCUAGAAAGACUAUUGGUGGAUCACAUGAAGGCAUUGUUCCAUUUCUAUAGUUGUUGCAUAUUAGUGAGACUACUAUUAGGAAGGUGACCUAGAAGAUACAAGAAUUUCAAAAUCCAUUUGUCAUAUUGAAGAGAUGCGGGUGCAAGAAGCAGUGACAUUGCAACCAUUGUACAAGACUGCCUAAGGUUUUGUUCAUAUUAAUGGAAACUUACCAUUGCUGUGAGAUUACAAGUAAAUGAAAUUCAGGACCUCUUUUUUCCUUCUCAAUUUCAUUCAGUAUAUAUGGCCACACGAGCAUGAAAAGCUUUCACAAGUUGAGCUGUUGGUUGUUGAAGAAGCUGCUGCUAUUCCACUGCUGGUGCGAAUUAUGGCCAUAUAUGUUAUAUCGCAUUACAAGAAUUCUCCAAAUGAUCUGCAACUGAUGGACCGCUUGAUGAAUCGAAGAAUUAUCUUCAUGGUAUUUUGUGUCAUCCAGGUUUGCCUUGAGGGGUCAAUAUCUGAUCAGUCAGCUAUCCAAAGUUUGAGCAACGGUCAUAAACCUUUUGGAGAUCAAAUACCAUGGAAAUUCUGUGAGCAUUUUCGAGACACAGUUUUUCCCUCACUUUCAGGUGCUCGCAUUGUACACAUUGCUGCACACCUUAUUGCCACGAGGCUUGGAUAUGGUUCACAAGCAGUUGAACGUUUAACGGCGAGUGCAUGGCAUUUUUCUUACUUUGGUUUGAGAGAUGUUCAUUUUAGCUUUUGUUUUACACAAAUGGCUAUUUUGUUAAAAUAUUAAUUUUUUGAAACAUAAAUAUUGGUUAAAAUAUUACUUCUAUUUUUGUGGGCCUUUUGACUUUAUGAAUUUUUUCAUAAAUGGACUUUUUGGGCUGAGGGAUUUUUUGGUGGUCUCUAUGUAAUGGAUUCACACGUCUCAAACACUUAACUGUGUCUCUGCUUUUUAAAAGUUCCUAUCUGUUUUUGAGUUAUCUAUCAUCCGUUUCUUAUCUCUUCAAAGUUCCACUCAAGAACUAGAAUGCACAAUUAUAAGUAGAGCUUCUCCAAUGCAAGGGAAAUGCCUGUCUCCCAGACCCUUAUUGUGGUCAUUGUCUCCAUCCACUGCCAGGGUGCCAAAGGAAAGUCAACAACUGAAUGCUGCACCCUUUCUUGAUUGAAAUGGAAAAGCUAUUCAAUGUUUCUAAAAUUGAAUUUUUUCUCUCUCUCAAAAGUGAAGAAAAGCCUUUCUUGUUGAAAUUCUUGAACGUGUAUUUUUUUUUCUUUGUUCGGUUGUUUUUUAACCACAUUUAUAAAAUACAUUCUUUCUAGCCUCUGGUGUAUUUGGUAAAUCAUAUUAUCUUUUUAAUUAAAAUUAAACUUAAAUAGAAAUGGUAUGAGUUACACCACCAUUCUGUAUUAUAUUGUAUUUACAGAGAUCACAGUUUAUGGUGAACAUAAGUGGAGAAAGGAAAAAUGGUGAGAAGUAACAGGGAUGGGCUCAACUCUCAAGACCUCGGAUGUAAUGGAUGAUGGAGAAGAGGAUUUUGUGGUAGAGGGUGGUGACAGAGGACAGUACAAGCAUAUCAAAGAAAAGAAGAUGCUUCUUGAUACAAAGUGUUUCUUGAUACAUAUUUAAUUAGAUUGCUGGAUUUCUUGCAUUUCUUGCAACUCCUCGUUUACAAGAUAAUGCUAAGAUUGCGGGAUUUAUUGCAAGUUUGCAACUCCUCAGGCUCAAGAUAAUGCUAUGUGCAAGGUGAUAAAUUGAUGCAAUUGAUCUCAAGAGCAAGCACAAGCGAAAACUUAGAUAGCGAACUUGUUCAACCAAGUGUUAGAGAUCUGUUGAAGUCUUUGAAGAUAAUCAUGAUUCAUGAGUGUGAAGCUAAAAGUCAUUGCACCAUUGCAAACACGGAUGAUAUCUGAGGUAGUUUCAUUUCAAGCUUUUGAUUGCAAUAAAUUUUCUAUUUUUAUUUCCUUUAUAACUUUUAGAUUUUUGAUCUUUUCAUAUUAUUAUUAACUAAACAAUAAUUACUAAAAUUAUCUUUAUUCAAAUAAUUAUUUUAAUUUAAAUUUUAGAGGAUAUAUCAAAUCAAACUACAUCACUAAAUGAAAAUAUCUAUCUUCAAACAACAUAAAUGGAAAUUAUGUUUCUAAUUAUAAAGUGAGAUAAAUUCUCUGCCAAAAAAAAAAGUGAGAGACAAAGAGCAAGUUUAUGAUUUUUUAUAUUAUUGUGCUAUUCCUUUUUUCUUUCUUUCUCUGCAAUAAAGUAUAAUAUUUAGAUAGUGUAGAUGUGAUGAUAUUGAAUGAGCUAGUUAAUUGUUUGCUUAAUCUUGUUCAAUAAGAUAUAGAUUUAAAUUUUAAAUUUUGAACUUGAAUUAAAUUGACAUUUUUAACCAAUAAGAUCAUUGUAACCAUACUAAAUUAUUUUUUAAAUCGAAACUUAUAGAAAAGAUCAUGCCUUAGUUUCUGUUUUCAAAAUAAUUAAAAGCUGACAACAUAUGAAGUUCAUU